UACACAAAGUAUGGUAAUAAUGUUUUCGCCACUUUUUCAACAGUCCGACAGACCAGCCGGCCAGACAGGCCUCAGACAACUCAGGAUGAUGCUGGGAUUGCAGGUUCUGCUUCUGUAAGCCUACCUCCUCUAAGGCGCCCAUCACAGGGCUCGGGGCACUUACCCAGGAGGCCAAGUAAGACACGGCGUCUUGGCACGGAAUCUGCGGCUCCAUCUUCCCCACCCAGGCGGCGCAUUUCUGCAGUGUCACCCCAGCCACCACUGGCACUAUUGGCGAGUCCACAGAGUGAUGAGCCCCGAUCACCUCAGUUAUCUGAGCCAAGCUUGAUGGCCGACGUGGACCAGCAGGGACAAGACCAACAGGCAACCUUCACACUGCAACUAACACCUGUU